rnacentral:lncRNA from 1 species
GACCCUGCAGACCUCGCGAGCCAGCCUGGGCUAGGCAUGACUUCGGGGGCUCCCGGAAGAGCCUUCCUUUACGUCCUCUCCUGUCGUCGGUGCCCCUCCGCUGGGCGGGGCGGGAUUCGGCCUCAGGUGGUCCCAGGCACGACACAGAGUGCAAGACACCGGACAUUGUUUUAGAAGAUGGCGAAGUUUAUGACACCUGUGAUCCAGGACAACCCCUCAGGCUGGGGUCCCUGUGCCGUUCCUGAGCAGUUUCGGGAUAUGCCCUACCAGCCAUUCAGCAAAGGAGAUCGGCUGGGGAAGGUUGCAGACUGGACAGGGGCCACGUACCAGGACAAGAGGUACACAAACAAGUAUUCCUCUCAGUUCGGUGGGGGAAGUCAGUAUGCAUAUUUCCACGAGGAGGAUGAGACGAGCUUCCAGCUAGUGGACACAGCGCGUACACAGAAGACGGCCUACCA